rnacentral:rRNA from 1 species
GAUUGACAGAUUAAGAGCUCUUUCUUGAUUCGGUGGGUGGGGGUGCAUGGCCGUUCUUAGUUGGUGGAGCGAUUUGUCUGGUUAAUUCCGAUAACGAACGAGACUCUAGCCUACUUAAUAGAGAACCGAUUUCCUCUCGUCGGUUACUCUUCUUAUAGGGACAAGCGGCGUUUAGCCGCACGAGAAAGAGCAAUAACAGGUCUGUGAUGCCCUUAAAUGUCCGGGGCCGCACGCGCGCUACACUGAAGGAAUCAGCGUGUGUUCACCCUGGCCGAAAGGUCUGGGUAACCCGUUGAACCUCCUUCGUGAUAGGGAUAGGGGCUUGUAACUAUUCCCCUUGAACGAGGAAUUCCCAGUAAGCGCGAGUCAUAAGCUCGCGUUGAUUAC